CACAUAAUCCUUACCCAUAGUAUACAUGAUCCUAACCUCUAAUGAAAAUCCAUUCCCUUCUUCAUUCUUUUCAGUCAUAAUCUCUAGGAAAAGGCACUUUGUAAUCCCAGCAGGGAUUUCAAAAGAGAAACGGUAGAAGUGACAAAGUUGUGGAAGAACAAAGGAAAGAACUGCAGAAAGAGAAGGAAUCACAAAACGGAUCUGAAGAUAAUCAAUCUUCUCUUCGGGCUCCAUGUUGGGCAUAGAUGGCACCAUGGCAGUUCCAAGUGAUCCAGAGAUCAGUGGAAGUGACCAGAGCUCAGACGAAGAAUUUAUCUUGCUUGCUAUGCCACCCGAGUUUGUCCCGGGACAUUUGGAAGACUUGGAAGAUGCCCUCAUGUUUCCUGACUUCCCAUGUGCCUACCAGCCUUAUGCUAGCGACUACAACAGCAGUGAUAAGACUGAAGGUGACCAUUCUAAUAAAAGGAAUAAGACUCAUGUUAGCAGCAGUGAUCAAAGUGACAAUCACUGCCAUGACGCUGAUGGCAAUGACAUCUACAACAAUGACUAUGUCAUCCUUCAGAAACAAAUGGAUACUUUUCUAGACUUGCAUCUUCACACUGUGCAGAGUAAAGUUAAAGACAACUACAGAAAGGUGGUUGAAGGAAGUGGAAAACCUGUAGAAAGGAAGGAGGAGCAGGAACAAGCACACAAAGAAUACAAAAUAAGUCAAUGGAAACAUCAGGAAGACUCGCCUUCAGGCUACUCUUUGGAUGACGAUGUCCCCAUGUUUGCUUCAAGAGACCCAGAACUUGGUGCUGCAAAUGAACAGAGUUCGAAAGAACAAAUCUCUGACAUUGAAAAUCUUCCCUUGAGUCCUGCUGUUGUUGAAAGGGUGGAACUAGAGCCCCAUCCUAGAUUCUGUACCUGUUUUUGCUUUCCCUGUUUUCCCCUGCUUUCCCUGGUUUUCCCAACCAGCGUUUUGGCUCUUCUAGUGCUCUCUUUCCUGAGAAGGCAAUCGUGAAUCUCACUACCCAGAUCUGUAAAAAUACAGGAUGAGUCAGAACUGUUCAGGGAGAUACUGUGAGAUACUCCAUGGAAGUGGGAUAUUUCAUGGCUCUAUACCCUUUUUCUUUAUCCUGCCAGGGCUUUAAAUCAUAGGUCCUGACCAAGUUACCAUCUUCAGGGGGGUUUUCCUGACAAA
rnacentral:lncRNA from 1 species